ACGGGAGGCAGCAGUGGGGAAUAUUGGGCAAUGGGCGAAAGCCUGACCCAGCGACGCCGCGUGAAGGAAGAAGGCCCUCGGGUUGUAAACUUCUGUAGACAGGGACGAAAACAAUGACGGUACCUGUAAAGUAAGCCACGGCUAACUACGUGCCAGCAGCCGCGGUAAUACGUAGGUGGCGAGCGUUAUCCGGAAUUACUGGGUGUAAAGGGAGUGUAGGCGGGACUGUAAGUCAGAUGUGAAAUAUGCCGGCUCAACUGGCAGACUGCAUUUGAAACUGCGGUUCUUGAGUGAAGUAGAGGUAAGCGGAAUUCCUAGUGUAGCGGUGAAAUGCGUAGAUAUUAGGAGGAACAUCAGUGGCGAAGGCGGCUUACUGGGCUUUAACUGACGCUGAGGCUCGAAAGCGUGGGGAGCAAACAGGAUUAGAUACCCUGGUA
rnacentral:rRNA from 1 species